AAAUCUGCAAAUAAGAAGGAGCGAGGUCACAAAGGCAAGGGGUCAUUUGGAGGAAGGAGUGUCCCAUCCACAGGGGUUAAACACCAAACAUGGAGGAAAAGUAUGUUUGACUGAGACAGCGGACAGAAAUGAUCAGGCAGCGGUUUCACUGGACGACAAAGAGCUUGAUUGUGACGGACGAACUGCAUAAAUAGCGACCGAGACGAACAUGGCAGCCAAACGCCGGGAGGUUACACACUUGUCAGUAAAGCUCACAUGCAAAGGCUAUACACACGGCCCGCGAGUAUACAGGGAGACGCUAAUCCCACCGGCGCUCCAAUAUAUUAGUACCCAAGUCCAAUACAAUGCCAAGACUCAUUUGUAUUUGCGGGGAGAGAAAAACACUACUUGCACGCAAAAACAGCCAUGACGAUGUCCGAUUUGUGAACGAAUCCUUCAUCGAUCUGAACCGGUUCUUUUCAGAGAAUCGGUGGAACUAGUUUUUAAAUCUAAAAGAAUCGAACUUUUUGUACAUCCACCAAAUUUCACAGGUCAAAGUCUUAGAUUCUUUUUUUUUUUUGUCAAAUUAACAUAUAAAAACAGCAAAGUUUUAAUUCACGUAUGCUUUUCGUAGUCCCACUAUGGCCACGUUGCCUUCAGUGGCCCUCCGCAUACUAUAAUCCAUUGUAUUUGCACUGUGUGAAUGUCCCGCCACGGUGGCUGUGGCUCACUGCCAACUAGACGAUACUCUCUCUUCAUAAAAGGGCUCAAAGCAUGCCUAAGCACACCAUCUAGUGGCGUCAGAAAAUAUAGCAAAUGGUUCUUGCGGCGCCGUUUUGGCAUCGCUACUCCCGGCUCCAGGCAAUGGACAAGUUAGUGAGUUCCGCACGCUCGGUUGAAGCAGUUACUAGGUAAUUUUCGCGAGACACAUACAGUAAGACAAAACACAUAUUCCUUUAAAGCAAUGCAAUGAGCACACAGUAAAUUUUGAGGGGGUGCAGAACAAUUUUUUUCAAAAUCUUGUGAAAAGUGAAACUGGCAUUGUUUCUUCAACAUUCACAGUUUACUGAUAUAGGUAUACUUUCUUGCUUGUAAUUUCAUUCAAUUAAGUUUAUAUCAAUUCAUCUACAUCUUUGCUUUGUUUUCUAUUGAUUGGACUAGUGUGAAGAAGAUAAGAAUAGUGUCUGUUGAUGCAAGUGUGAGCAUUUUAAUGACACAAUUUCAUUUUAAACAGAGUUAACAUGGUUUUGAGUUGAUUGGUAGGUUUUGACAGGCAGAGAUGCAUUUUUGUGACCAAUGCUAAAGGUUUUACAUUUGUGUUUAUGGUUUUGAAAAAGUUUCCUUGAUUACAGAAAAUGUGUAUUGACAACUGAAAAAAACUAACAGAGUCGGAACAAAGUGUCUCAUUUUUAACGAUUUUAGCUUAUACGUUUGAUUUAGAAUCAAAAACGUUUUCAUCCUGUUAUCAAUAUAAAAAUGUUACAUUUGUAAGAAUGUUAAC